rnacentral:rRNA from 1 species
UUAGGGAGGAAAUUUGACGUGUACCUAAAGAAUAAGCAUCGGCUAACUCUGUGCCAGCAGCCGCGGUAAUACAGAGGAUGCAAGUGUUAUCCGGAAUUACUGGGCGUAAAGCGUCUGUAGGUUGUUUAAUAAGUCAAAUAUUAAAUCUUAAAGCUUAACUUUAAAAUCGUAUUUGAAACUAUUAAACUUGAAUAUCUUAAAGGUAGAGGGAAUUUCCAAUGGAGUGGUGAAAUGCGUAGAUAUUGG